UUUGUAUAGAGUCUGGCAAAUCCGACAGACUUGGACUGCCUUUUUCAAGAAAGUUUGAAAUAGCAUCCCUUAUGCACCUGCAUUUCAAUUCCAAUCUGUAUUACAAGAAUGACAGACCACUCAACAGAGAUGAACAUCUGAAAGUGAAAGAGCUGGAAUGAAGAUACGUUAAUCUGUGUCAAAGGUUCUUAGUAUGUGUGCGAGUCGAGGACAUAGGUCUCAAGCUUAUUCCUGUCUUCAGAAGAGGUGACAACUAUGCUCCUUCUAUCUAUUAACCAGCUCCACUUUUUAGGGUUCCCUGUAAACUAAUGGAGCACAUCAUGUACUACCACGUUGUCAACCAAGUUGACUCUGUCAAUUUCUUUUUUUAAAUUCCAGCAUGGCUUUAGAAAAGGGUAUUCAGGCAAAACUAACGUAGUGGAAUUCGUUCACAGCAUUUCAAACUGUCUUGAUUUCUGGGUCCACGUAGAUGUAGUAUUCUUUUUAUUUUGUAAGGGCUUUUGACACUGUGCUCUACGCUCGCGUGUUGGCCAAAGUAGCCUAAUUAAAAUUUGAUCCUGCUA